rnacentral:rRNA from 1 species
UACGUAGGGGGCCAGCGUUGCUCGGAAUUACUGGGCGUACAGGGUUCGUUGGUGGUGCGGCAAGUUGGAAGUGACAUCUCUGGGCUUAACCCAGAGGCUGCUUUCAAAACUGCCGUGCUCGAGUGCGAGAGAGGUCAGUGGAAUUGCAGGUGUAGCGGUGAAAUGCGUAGAGAUCUGCAGGAACACCCGUGGCGAAGGCGGCUGACUGGAUCGCAACUGACACUGAGGAACGAAAGCGAGGGGAGCAAACAGG